CACGAAGGACACGAAGGAACACGAAGAAGAAAAAGAAGAAGAAAGAGUGGACACUCUUUCUUCUUCUUCUUUUUCUUCUUCGUGUUCCUUCGUGUCC
rnacentral:misc_RNA from 1 species